rnacentral:lncRNA from 1 species
GGUUGUUUAUUCCUCAUUUGCUAAAGGAAUAGGGGCCGGUUGAGAUAUCAAAAGUCAUGAGUAAACAUCCAUCGCCUGUCUCAAAGCAGAAACCUUUAUCCUUUGGUAAUCUCAUGUGCUUUUUUUUCAAUUUAAGUUCAAAAGUGCAUUUUAGUGUUUAGUGUAGCAACCAUUUCUCUGAACUAUUAUUCAUUAUUGUUUAGUGACCAAAAGAGGCCCGCCUCUAUGUGCGGAAUUUUCUUUCUGCAUAGAGG